AGCAGCCCGCGGUAAUUCCAGCUCCAAUAGCGUAUAUUAAAGUUGUUGCAGUUAAAAAGCUCGUAGUUGAAUUUCGGGAUCAAUAUGUCGGUCGUGCCUUCGGUACGUACUGGUAUCAUUGGUCUCUCCUUUCUGACGAACCAUGAUGUCAUUAAUUUGGUGUUAUGGGGAGUUAGGACUGUUACUUUGAAAAAAUUAGAGUGUUUAAAGCAGGCUUUAGCUUGAAUACAUUAGCAUGGAAUAAUGAAAUAGGACGUUCGAACCUAUUUUGUUGGUUUCUAGGAUCAACGUAAUGAUUAAUAGGGAUAGUUGGGGGCAUUAGUAUUCAAUUGUCAGAGGUGAAAUUCUUGGAUUUAUUGAAGACUAACUACUGCGAAAGCAUUUGCCAAGGAUGUUUUCAUUAAUCAAGAACGAAAGUUAGGGGAUCGAAGACGAUCAGAUACCGUCGUAGUCUUAACCAUAAACUAUGCCGACUAGGGAUCGGAUGAUGUUAAUUUUUUAAUGACUCA
rnacentral:rRNA from 1 species